GUAUAGGAACAUGGAAUAGAGUUGCAUCACACGCUGCCAACACCUUUCUAUAUGCAUGGCUGUAGCCUGUAUAAUAAUAUGUAUAAUGCCAGGAGAAUUAAUCGAGCUUUUGUUACAACAGACAUUUCAUUCAUGCGCUAACUGUACAAUACGGUUGUCGCUCAUACAGAAGUGAAAUUUACUAUUAAACAAAUUUUCUCAUAAAUUCAUUUCGUGACUUUUCUCUAGUCGGUUUGUAAUCUUGAAAAAAGCCAGCGAUUCAUUAAAAACAUGUUGCGCAUGUAAAGUCUCCGUCCAAACAGAUUUUAUCACUAGUUGAACAAACUAAAGACACACAUGCAGGCCUGCAUAAAGGUCAUUCAGGAUUAUUUCGAAGGUUAGGUGUCCCGCGCAGAUACAAAAAUACAAGGAUAAUAUAGAUGAUGACGCAGGCUGUUUAAGGCGAGCUGAAUAUUAUACAAGAAACCUGAAACUGGAUUAGUUCUACUAUUUACUUUUCUUUUUCCUUCUGUUUUUCUGUAGAUUUAUUUUUAUUAUUUUUAUUAUUUUUAUUUUAUUUUAUUCUAUUUUUUUGCGCUGCGUUGUGCCUGGCGUCAUCAAUAUUUUCCAGAUUAUCCCGACUCCUGUUGAGCUUGAAUGCGUCUCGUUUCUUAUCGAACAUCGUAACAGCCAGGUCCGUGUCGUCCGACCGGGGCAACUUUCUCCAUUUCUAAUAAUACUCUGCUACACGCGCGUAAAUAACUUUUUCUCCGGUUGUUCCAAGAGCGGCCAGAACGAGUCCCGCACUCCCGUUCGUCAAAAGUUAUGUAACAACAACAAAUAAACAUCGUUUAUUGUGGCUCGCACUCCAACGGCUGAUGGCUGUUGAGGCAACCGAAAGGAAAGGGUAAGGCAGUUAAGGCAGCGCCAUAUCUCUGCCCGCACGCAAUACACUGUAAACAAGCCAGUUUUUUCUAGUCACGGUCGGUUUAAGCAAGUGAAACACAGGGUCUGGGCCUGUUUUGACACGUAAUACACAAACCAAAACAAUCACGUCUGGCUGAAACGAGAAAAAAGAAAAAAAAAACAAUAAAAAGAACAAAUUCCAGCUCAGCCAGAGGGUGAACGGAUCUGUAAGCAUUACACUGCAUUCAAAAUCAAGCCGGGAUCGGCCGGGAUUUUAGAUCUCGGCUUUUCUUUUUUCUGUAGAACAAAAUAUGUGUCUACAAACACACAAUACUUUAUUUAUAUAAGGGAUUUAGUUGUCCGGAGAGAAAUAGCGGUAUAUGAUGAUUUGAUUUGAUUUCCCCUGUCUCGACUGGACACCCAACAUGGGCACGAGUGUGGGUCAGUGCGGUCAUGCGGUAUAAUUUACACGCAACAGAAUGAACUAUUCAAGGAGAUCUACGUUUCAACCUACAUAGGUUUACCCGUUGCCACAGUUGGAAAAUGUUAAAUUUUAUGUAUCCUUUUCAGUGCCGAUUCAAAUGAUACAAUCAUACAAGUUGGGGUUUUUGUAUGGCUGUCAACGGGCCGGUGUAACCGUCGGUGUGGCCCGCUCAAACCCGGAAAAAAUCAGAAAAAUUUCGGGCCGGACUAGACCGCUAUUUGACAUAGGUUUUUCUAAAAACCAACGAAAACAUGUUUGGCGCAUUGGCGGGAACUGGGAUAAAAGGUUAACAAAAUUUCCCAGCAUGCAUAGACUUGAUUUGUUUGUGCGAGCUUUGCUAUAUUCGAUGUGAUGGUACCACGCCCACGAGAUUUUGAACAAACUGUUGUCAGUGGCAAUAUACGACAAAUCUAUCACAACUGAGCCAUCUCGUUAAGUGAGUUU